AUGACCUUUGAGGUCAGUGCACAGGCAGAAAGGGGCCUCCACCGGGGACUGGCUCCUGCCAGGCCAGAAGCAGGUGUCUGGCCUGGCCACCCGCCCCCAGCGCCGCCCCCACUGGGACCUCCCUCCCUUGUCUCAGCUUCAGGAGCCGGAAUCAUGCCGUGGGGGCAGGGCCCCACUGAUCCUGGGAGAUGGGCCCUGUGUGCCCACGGGGCCCCCACAGCGCCUCCUGUUCCGCUGCACGUGGGCUGGCGGCUUGGGGCCAUGACGGAUUGUCCCAGGAGGCUGUCCAAUGUCCUUCUGAUGUGGCCAUCCUACCGCUGUGGGCACAUGCACCAGCUGUUCCCAGGUCCCCGCGGCGCGAGAGCCCCGUUGCUCUUCGGGAGUGAGCAGGAAGUGGGAGGGGGCACGGGGCGGGGCGGGCAGGAGGCCCCGAGUCACCGAGGCCGAAUCUCGUUCCGCCCAGCGGACCCCAGAGCCCGGUGUCAGGACACCCCCUCGCACGUGGCGUCCUGUUUGGAUGACAGUUCAGCGUGUGGCCCCAGCUACCCUGCGAAUGUCUGUCUGGGUGUGCAGCUCCCACGGAGGCGCGGCCCUGCCUCACUGCUCACACGUUUCUCUAGCAACGGAGACCCACGGCUGCCCUCACGUCCCAGGGGAGGGACCUCAGACAGCUGGAGGGUGGGGGGCGAGAGUCUGGGGGAGCCUGCCCUGGUGGUGCCCAGCGCAGCCCCUGGGGCUCCCCGCCCAGCCCAUCUCCCUCCUGGGGGUGGACUCCCCUCCGCUCAGCUGAGCUCGGGCCACCCCUGGGGCUGCGGGGUCAGACCACCCCCACAGCAGCCAGGACCACCCUGCUCCCCACGAGCUGAGCCAGGAGCCUCGAACAUCCCCUCGGCGCUGCGUGAAGGAGACCACAGCCUCCUGGGGUCUGGGCCCUCGUGCUGUCCCCACGAUGCAGGGCAUCUGAGUCCAGGGAGCCCUGGCGGGCAGCGCUGAUGGGGAGGCCGCGUGCAGAGACCCAAAGGCCAAAACCCUUCCUCAUGAACACAAAGUGGCUUCGGGGGAGCUACCGAUCAUCAGAAACUCAGUCUGCAUCUGAGAAACAGGGGCUGUCACUGGCCUGACCUGCGCCCAGGGUCCUGGACAGACCGAGGGAGCAGGGACUGUGGGGAGGCCAGGCAGCACCGCCUGAGCCUGGAAGGGGCUGUUCUCUGGGCUCUACAGUUUAGAAGGACUCAGGGGACCUGACACUUUACAGUUUACAAGGACUCAGGGCCCAUCUCUGCUGAGCCCCACCAAGAGCCUGGGAAGGCUGCGUGGUGCCUGCUUGCAGUGUGGUUGCCUAGGAAAGUCAGCUCCGAGCCACCACUGUCCCCGCGGCGCACAGGAGGGACACCAGGCUCCCGCUCAGCCAGAUGGCUGCAGCCCGGGCACCUGCUAAGUGCUGCCUGAGCAUCCUGAGCCAGUCCUCGGGGGACCCUUGUGACCUCCCCUCUUUACAGCGGCUCCCCCGGCUCCACAGGGCCGCACACGCCAGAGUCACCCCACUUUACACAGCAGGUACCCCCCCGGCUCCGCAGGGCCGCACACGCCAGAGUCACCCCACUUUACACAGGGGUACCCCCCCGGCUCCGCAGGGCCGCACACGCCAGAGUCACCCCACUUUACACAGCGGGUACCCCCCCGGCUCCACAGGGCCGCACACGCCAGAGUCACCCCACUUUACACAGCGGGUACCCCCCCGGCUCCGCAGGGCCGCACACGCCAGAGUCACCCCACUUUACACAGCGGGUACCCCCCCCGGCUCCGCAGGGCCGCACACGCCAGAGUCACCCCACUUUACACAGCGGGUACCCGCCCCAGCUCCGCAGGGCCACACACGCCAGAGUCACACCACUUUACGCAGUGGGUCCCCCCAGCUCCACAGGGCCGCACACACCCAGAGUCACCCCACUUUACACAACAGGUCGCCCCGGCUCCGCAGGGCUACACACGUCCAGAGUUGCUUGGCUCUGGGGCAGUUUGAGCCUGGCCUCUGGCCCAGGCCAGCUUGCACUGUUGUCAUGCCUGCUGCACACGCUGUCCUGAAGGCUGGAGGUGGCAACUGGUCAGCUGACCUUCCUGCCAUGGAGCUGGGAUGUCAGGAGACUGCAGAGAGGGGGUGACUGGGUCCCCACGGAUUCCAGAGCCUCUCAGGGUUCCACCCCUCUACUGCUCUGCGGCCCCAUCUGCUCAGGGAGAUGCCACAGGGAGCUGGGGGAGAGGCUGGGGUGUGGGGAGGGUCCGAGGGGCUGUGGCUCCCCAAGCCGUCACCCUGUAAUGCCAGGACCUGCAGGCCUGUGGACGCCCUGCUGGUUCACAGGGUGUGAUGGUCUGGGUUACGGGUCGGCUUGGCCAGGCUGUGGUCCCUGGGGGGUCAGAUGCCCACCUGGGUGUCGCCAUGGAGGUAUUUGGGGGACUGGGAGACGGGGUAGCCUCUACGAUCAGCUGACCCCGAGAAUGAGGGCCUCCACACGCGGUGGGCCUCGUCCAAUCAGGUGAGGGCCUCCAAACGGAGUUGGGAUUUUCCCCGAGGUGAAGAAAUUCUUCCUCAAACAGCAAGGUCAGCUCCUGCUGGAGGGUCCAGCCUGUACUAUGGGCUUGGGACUUGCAGAGCCACUUGUGGCCCCUGUGACCUCCCGGGGGCCGGAUUUGUGUUCUGGGCCGCUGUGAGCCACACCUUUUCCUGCCCACGGCCUGUCUAGGUCAGGUUUAUUCGAUGCAUCUGCCAUCUGAAGCUCAAGAUGCUUCUUGGUUUCUCGGCAGCGUGCACUCCCAGCUCCUUCUGUGGGUCAGCCCACGGCCGUCCUUCCUGGGGCGUCCUGUCCCCGCUGGCCGAGCUUCCCUCUGCCAGGUCCCUCCCUGGUCAGCACAGGACUGGGCGGCCCCAGCCUCAUUCCGAUGUUCACAGCCACAAGGCAGCCCCCCCAUCACUGUUCCGCACCCGCGUUCCAGCCCCUCUCUGGUGCUUUGCUGUCUCUCCAAGGAAACCAGAGGCGGGACUGGCGCCCGAGCCUCCCUCACGUACUCCUGGUCAGUGGCCUGAGGGCGUCGCUGUGCAGGGACACUGGCUCAAGCCCACCAUCCCAUUCAGGACCAGCAGGUGCCUGCAGGAAUCGCAGCGUCCCUGUUGGUGAAGCAACCACGAGAAGCGAUGGCACCUUCCGGCAAAAGCAUUCUCAUCGCCGAACGCGUGCUUUCCCUCGCCAUCCGGCGGCAUCCUGGCGGAGACACUCAGAAGGUGACACGGCAGCCCUGGGGCUCCCCGGAGCCUGUGCCGGGGGCGCCCUGACUCAGCCGGCGUGAGGCAUUUUCUACGGCACAGGUGUCACCUGUCACGCUGACCACCCCCCCCCCCCCGGGGAGUCACGCACGAUAUGCUGUGACGUGGCUGCGGACGCGGCCCUGUCCGUCAGACGAGCCUCCGCCUGGACGUCUAGCCCACUGGCCCCGCGGUGCGUGGUCCUCAGCCAGGCCAGCGCCGUCUGGCGGGACCGAAGCCUUGAUGUUGCCCUGACGUCAAGCAAAGCGCGGCUGCGUCUCCGCGCCUCCGUUGGCCACACAGCACAUUCUGGGUCUUAGAGCCUCAGCGUCCCGUCUGCGAAGGGGAGCUGGUCCCUCAGCCCCGGGGGGGCGGCAGGAAGCUGCAGCCUCCACCCCGAGCAGCUGUGUGUCAGGUGGACGAGGCCUGCAGGACC
rnacentral:lncRNA from 9 species